rnacentral:rRNA from 1 species
UACGGAGGGGGCAAGCGUUGUUCGGAAUCAUUGGGCGUAAAGAGUAUGUAGGCGGCUAUUUAAGUCAGACGUGUAAGCCCACGGCUCAACCGUGGAAUUGCGCUUGAAACUAUUUAGCUUGAGUACAGGAGAGGAAGGCGGAAUUCCCAGUGUAGCGGUGAAAUGCAUUGAUAUUGGGAAGAACACCGGUGGCGAAGGCGGCCUUCUGGUCUGAUACUGACGCUGAGAUACGAAAGCCAGGGGAGCGAACGGG